UACGUAGGUGGCGAGCGUUAUCCGGAAUGAUUGGGCGUAAAGGGUGCGUAGGCGGCCUGCUAAGUCUGGAGUGAAAGGCACCGGCUCAACCGGCACAGGCUCUGGAAACUGGCGGGCUAGAGAGCAGGAGAGGGCGGUGGAACUCCAUGUGUAGCGGUAAAAUGCGUAGAUAUAUGGAAGAACACCAGUGGCGAAGGCGAUUCUCUGGACUGUAACUGACGCUGAGGCUCGAAAGCGUGGGGAGCAAACAGG
rnacentral:rRNA from 1 species